rnacentral:rRNA from 1 species
UGAGGAAUAUUGCUCAAUGGCCGCAAGGCUGAAGCAGCAACGCCGCGUGAGGGAUGAAGGAUCUAUGGUCUGUAAACCUCUGUAGAGAAGGAAAAAUAACCCAUUAUAUGGGCUUGAUAGUACUUCUAGAGUAAGCCCCGGCUAACUACGUGCCAGCAGCCGCGGUAAUACGUAGGGGGCGAGCGUUGUCCGGAAUCACUGGGUGUAAAGGGUGCGCAGGCGGGUCGAUAAGUCAGAGGUGAAAUUUCACAGCUUAACUGUGAAUGUGCUUUUGAUACUGGCGGUCUAGAGUUCAGAAGAGGGCAAUGGAAUUCUUGGUGUAGCGGUGAAAUGCGUAGAUAUCAAGAAGAACACCAGUUGCGAAGGCGGUUGCCUGGUCUGUAACUGACGCUCAAGCGCGAAAGCGUGGGGAUCAAACA